rnacentral:rRNA from 1 species
UACGUGGGGUGCGAGCGUUGUUCGGAAUUACUGGGCGUAAAGCGCGUGUAGGCGGUUCGCUAAGUUCGAUGUGAAAGCCCUGGGCUUAACCCAGGAACUGCAUUGAAAACUGGCGGACUUGAGUCCGGGAGAGGGUCGCGGAAUUCCUGGUGUAGAGGUGAAAUUCGUAGAUAUCAGGAGGAACACCGGUGGCGAAGGCGGCGACCUGGACCGGUACUGACGCUGAGGUACGAAAGCGUGGGGAGCAAACAGG